rnacentral:rRNA from 1 species
CACGGUAAACGAUGGAUGCCCGCUGUUGGCGAUACAGUGUCAGCGGCCAAGCGAAAGCGUUAAGCAUCCCACCUGGGGAGUACGCCGGCAACGGUGAAACUCAAAGGAAUUGACGGGGGCCCGCACAAGCGGAGGAACAUGUGGUUUAAUUCGAUGAUACGCGAGGAACCUUACCCGGGCUUGAACUGCAGGGGAACGAUAGAGAGAUCUUGAGGUCAGCAAUGACCCCUGUGGAGGUGCUGCAUGGUUGUCGUCAGCUCGUGCCGUGAGGUGUCGGCUUAAGUGCCAUAACGAGCGCAACCCUUGUCUGUAGUUGCCAUCAGGUGAUGCUGGGCACUCUGCGGAUACUGCCACCGUAAGGUGUGAGGAAGGUGGGGAUGACGUCAAAUCAGCACGGCCCUUACGUCCGGGGCUACACACGUGUUACAAUGGGGCAUACAGAAAGCCGGCGGCGCGCGAGCUCCGUCCAAUCCCUAAAGUGCCCCUCAGUUCGGACUGGGGUCUGCAACCCGACC